GAAAGACCCCGUGAACCUUUACUGCAGCCUGAUAUUGGUGCUUGUCAUGUAGUGCGUAGCAUAGGUGGGAGACGUUGAAGCUGGCCUUUCGGGGUUGGUGGAGUCACCAGUGAAAUACCACUCUCUGCGUGAUAGGUCUCUAACGCGAUACGAUGAAUCUCGGUCGCGGACAGUGUCAGGUGGGUAGUUUGGCUGGGGCGGUCUCCUCCUAAAGAG
rnacentral:rRNA from 1 species